GACGAACGCUGGCGGCGUGCUUAACACAUGCAAGUCGAACGGAGAAUUUUAUUUCGGUGAAAUUCUUAGUGGCGAACGGGUGAGUAACGCGUAGACAACCUACCUCUCAGAUGGGGACAACAUCGCGAAAGCGGUGCUAAUACCGAAUGAUGUAACUUUUCUGCAUGGAAGAGUUACCAAAGGCGGCCUCUAUUUAUAAGCUGUCACUGAGAGAUGGGUCUGCGUCUGAUUAGCUAGUUGGCGGGGUAAUGGCCCACCAAGGCGACGAUCAGUAGCCGGGCUGAGAGGAUGAACGGCCACAUUGGGACUGAGACACGGCCCAAACUCCUACGGGAGGCAGCAGUGGGGAAUCUUCCGCAAUGGACGAAAGUCUGACGGAGCAACGCCGCGUGAGUGAAGGAGGUUUUCGGAUCGUAAAGCUCUGUUGUUUGAGACGAACGUGCAAUUUUUGAAUAAGGAAUUGUAAUGACGGUAUUAAACGAGAAAGCCACGGCUAACUACGUGCCAGCAGCCGCAGUAAAAC
rnacentral:rRNA from 1 species